rnacentral:rRNA from 1 species
UCAGGAUGAACGCUAGCUACAGGCUUAACACAUGCAAGUCCAGGGGCAGCAUUUUAGUUUGCUUGCAAACUAAAGAUGGCGACCGGCGCACGGGUGAGUAACACGUAUCCAACCUGCCGAUAACUCGGGGAUAGCCUUUCGAAAGAAAGAUUAAUAUCCGAUAGUAUAUUAAAACCGCAUGGUUUUACUAUUAAAGAAUUUCGGUUAUCGAUGGGGAUGCGUUCCAUUAGUUUGUUGGCGGGGUAACGGCCCACCAAGACUACGAUGGAUAGGGGUUCUGAGAGGAAGGUCCCCCACAUUGGAACUGAGACACGGUCCAAACUCCCACGGGAGGCAGCAGUGAGGAAUAUUGGUCAAUGGACGAGAGUCUGAACCAGCCAAGUAGCGUGAAGGAUGACUGCCCUAUGGGUUGUAAACUUCUUUUAUAUGGGAAUAAAGUAUUCCACGUGUGGGAUUUUGUAUGUACCAUAUGAAUAAGGAUCGGCUAACUCCGUGCCAGCAGCCGCGGUAAUACGGAGGAUCCGAGCGUUAUCCGGAUUUAUUGGGUUUAAAGGGAGCGUAGGUGGAUUGUUAAGUCAGUUGUGAAAGUUUGCGGCUCAACCGUAAAAUUGCAGUUGAAACUGGCAGUCUUGAGUACAGUAGAGGUGGGCGGAAUUCGUGGUGUAGCGGUGAAAUGCUUAGAUAUCACGAAGAACUCCGAUUGCGAAGGCAGCUCACUAGACUGCAACUGACACUGAUGCUCGAAAGUGUGGGUAUCAAACAGGAUUAGAUACCCUGGUAGUCCACACAGUAAACGAUGAAUACUCGCUGUUUGCGAUAUACAGUAAGCGGCCAAGCGAAAGCAUUAAGUAUUCCACCUGGGGAGUACGCCGGCAACGGUGAAACUCAAAGGAAUUGACGGGGGCCCGCACAAGCGGAGGAACAUGUGGUUUAAUUCGAUGAUACGCGAGGAACCUUACCCGGGCUUAAAUUGCAUUUGAAUAAUCUGGAAACAGGUUAGCCGCAAGGCAAAUGUGAAGGUGCUGCAUGGUUGUCGUCAGCUCGUGCCGUGAGGUGUCGGCUUAAGUGCCAUAACGAGCGCAACCCUUAUCUUUAGUUACUAACAGGUCAUGCUGAGGACUCUAGAGAGACUGCCGUCGUAAGAUGUGAGGAAGGUGGGGAUGACGUCAAAUCAGCACGGCCCUUACGUCCGGGGCUACACACGUGUUACAAUGGGGGGUACAGAAGGCAGCUACCUGGCGACAGGAUGCUAAUCCCAAAAACCUCUCUCAGUUCGGAUCGAAGUCUGCAACCCGACUUCGUGAAGCUGGAUUCGCUAGUAAUCGCGCAUCAGCCAUGGCGCGGUGAAUACGUUCCCGGGCCUUGUACACACCGCCCGUCAAGCCAUGAAAGCCGGGGGUACCUGAAGUACGUAACCGCAAGGAGCGUCCUAGGGUA